rnacentral:rRNA from 1 species
GACGAACGCUGGCGGCGUGCUUAACACAUGCAAGUCGAACGGAAAGGCCCUGCUUUUGUGGGGUGCUCGAGUGGCGAACGGGUGAGUAACACGUGAGUAACCUGCCCUUGACUUUGGGAUAACUUCAGGAAACUGGGGCUAAUACCGGAUAGGAGCUCCUGCUGCAUGGUGGGGGUUGGAAAGUUUCGGCGGUUGGGGAUGGACUCGCGGCUUAUCAGCUUGUUGGUGGGGUAGUGGCUUACCAAGGCUUUGACGGGUAGCGGGCCUGAGAGGGUGACCGGCCACAUUGGGACUGAGAUACGGCCCAGACUCCUACGGGAGGCAGCAGGGGGGAAUAUUGCACAAUGGGCGGAAGCCUGAUGCAGCAACGCCGCGUGCGGGAUGACGGCCUUCGGGUUGUAAACCGCUUUCGCCUGUGACGAAGCGUGAGUGACGGUAAUGGGUAAAGAAGCACCGGCUAACUACGUG